UACAACCUCCUCCUCCUGGGUUCAAGUGAUUCUCCUGCCUCAGCCUCCUGAGUAGCUGGGAAUAUAGGUAUAUGUCACCAUACCUGGCUAAUUUUUGUAUUUUUAGUAGAGACAGGGUUUUGCCAUGUUGGCCAGGCUGGUCUCAAAUUUCUGACCUUGAGUGAUUUGCCCACCUCGGCCUCCCAGAGUGCUGGAAUUACAGAUGCAAGCCAACACACCCAGCCUCAGUAGCUGUGUCGUGCAUGCCCACCUAGCAACUAAAUAAACAUUCCAUAUAUGCUAAUAUAGGGUCAACUUAAUAGACUACCGCUGGUCAGCCAUCUGUGCCAUAUGCCAUCAUUCUUCCUGACAUGUCUGAAUUACAAACUCAACCAAGGGUUCCAGUAAUGAAUCUAGAAGGUUAUUUUUUCACAUUUUACUCACUGUAAAUUUUAUAGGGAAAAAAAUGAGGCCUAGAGAAUUUAACUAAUUUGCACACAGAACAAUAAUUAGAAAGAUUAUAAUCCAGUUCUAACUCUCAAUUCUGUUUAUUCGAUCUAAGUGAAGAACGAUAUACAAUACUCAGCCACAGUUCAUCUAGGUAGAGGGCGGGAGGAAGUAGGAAGUAAAUAUUAGUACCAAGGAGAGAGAGGAAAAUAAUACACACACACACACACGUAUAUAUAAUUUACAAAUGUGUAUAUAUUUGUAAAUCAUAUUUUUAUAUAUAAAGAAUAUAAAUAAUUAUAAAUAUUAUUAAGCAACACAAGAAAAAGUAUGGAGAAAAAUAAUCAUGCACAUUUCAAAAGAAUACAGAAAGUGGAAGGAAUAUUGUAUUCUCUAUGAGAAUAAGACAGAAAUAUUCCCCAAAAGGAGAAAAAACUAAGAAGGAGAAAUUAUUCAUAUAUUGGUCACAUUUAUACAAUAACUCUUACACUUUUUCAAAAAGCCAACCCUAUUUUUGUUUUCACUGAAAAAUAGUAUGUGUCCCAGACUGUACACUCAAUAAAUGUUUGUUGAAUUGAAUUUAAAUUAUUUUACUUUGGAAAGAUUAUGUCUUUUUCAUAGUGCUCAGAGGAAAAAAUCAUUAAAUAGAUUUUUAUUCUGCCUUUCUGUUCAUAGUGCUGCCCCAGGUGAUUUUUUCUUUGCAAGAGAAUGGAAGAGAAACUGGAGCUGCAAUGAACGCAGACUUCUUUUUUUUUUUUUUUUUUUCAUUUCCACUGACCAAUAAACAGAACUACAGGUGCACCCAACCACGGACAUGCAUUAACUCGUCAUGAGAAAUCUAGGUAGGCUAAGUAGGAUGAGAGAAUGUUUGUCACUCCCAAAAAUAUCUGGAGAGGAAGAAUGGAGGAUUGGCAUUGAGAUCCAUGUGGACAAGCUAAGUGGGCUCUGUCUGAAAGCUGGCAUUCAUCCACAACAUUAAAAAAAUAUCAAAAUAAGAAAGGCUGUAAAUUAAAAAGAAAACACAGAAAAUACUGCUCUCAUAAAGAUCUG
rnacentral:lncRNA from 1 species